CAGGAGCCUUUUUCAAAAUGUGGCGGUGGCAGGGAAGGUUGUCUGCUCCAGAGGCUUCCCUAGAGUGAAGAGCUCUACUAUGUAUGCUUUAUGCGGCAGAAGGAGUGCUUUGGAGGAGUUUUUAAAUUUGUUUUUUUUUUAAAUCUUAUCGGUUUUAAUUGUAGCAAUGAUUCAAGAAACGUUAGUAGGUGCCCAUAACUUCGGUGGUGGAGAUCCAAAAGUGAACAAGACAGUGUUCUGGCUGCUAAAUUCUUCUUAACUGGUUAUGCCUGGAGACCUUCACUUGGUUCUGUGCCAGCACUGCCCAUGAACUUCAUAGACUGUGAUCUUUGCUAAGGCCUAAAUGAAUGAAGGUGCAGGACCGGAAGCAGAAGACAGAAAGUGGAGACCAGAUGUUUGAAGCUGGGUAAAGGCAGGGAUGGAGCAGGAACCGAGGAACAAACCUUGGAACUAGCCACUUGAUUGCCGAGCCCCAUAGAAGACAUAAUUUACAAGAAACUCAUAGAGACUCAAAAUAGUCUGAUGCUUGGCUGUCUGAAACCUAUUCCUGAAAUGAAAACUGUGAGAUCACAUAUCCAGCAUUGUUUCUCAAAUAGAACUAGAAAUAAUAGCCUAAGAAAUGUACCAUCAGCUGGAACUGGAAAGAAUUGUGAUACUUGAAGAGACUUAGCACUUGGUGGACUAUGAUUUUCUAUCAAUCAAGUCAAGCACUGCUACCCAGUCUUCACUACAGAGUGCACCGGAAAGAAUGAUCCAGCAGUAAAAUGCUUUAUGAACUAUCCAUAUGGAAACCAUUGGCAAUAACACAUCCUGGCAUAUGGUAAGUGACGUAUAUACACAUAAAAAUAAGAACUGUAAACAUUGC
rnacentral:lncRNA from 1 species